rnacentral:rRNA from 1 species
UUCCUACGGGGGGCAGCAGUAGGGAAUCUUCCACAGUGGGCGAAAGGCUGAUGGAGCAACGCCGCGUGGGUGAAGAAGGUCUUCGGAUCGUAAAACCCUGUUGUUAGAGGAGAAACUGCGUGAGAGUAACUGUUCACGUUUCGACGGUAUCUAACCAGAAAGCCACGGCUAACUACGUGCCAGCAGCCGCGGUAAUACGUAGGUGGCAAGCGUUAUCCGGAUUUAUUGGGCGUAAAGGGAACGCAGGCGGCCUUUUAAGGCUGAUGUUAAAGCCUUCGGCUUAACCGGAGUAGUGCAUUUGAAAC